CAGUCUUCAAGUGGGUUAUUACGUUCUUGUCCUCCCUUUGAUCCAUUCCUCCCCACUCCUAUGUGAUCUCCCUGUAUGGGAGAAAUGGAAAGUAACUUGUUCUCCUCAAAAGACAAAAUAAAAAUCCUCCAGUCUCCUGGAUGAGGUUCGCCAAGUCUGAUUUUUUUGUUGCAGUCUUCAAGCCCUAAGAACCUCUAGUCUUGUUCCAUAGCAAACUCAAGAGGUCACAAAUUUUGUCCUUCCUAAUGCCUGACAUCACCCAGGAGAAGACUGGCAGAGGGUGAAGGAGGCGGCUGCCACACAUUCCAGAUGCCCCUCUAUUUAAAACUCAAGGCAGGUCUGGGUGACAAUAGCCAAGCAGCCAGACCUUGUCCCAUACAAACCCGUUUGGCACCAAGCAGAAUGGCUGAAAAAGAAUCUACGGCUUCAAACUUGGUCGUCCCUAUUCUUCUCCUGAUUGGCUGGAUUGUGGGCUGUGUCGUAAUGAUUUAUGUGAUCUUCUCUUGAUAGAAGUAGGUGGCUUUGAACUGAACAUACAUAUUUAUACCAAGUAAACCUCUAAUACGAAAAUCAUCUUUUCCAUUUUACUGAUCGAAGCUUCUAUCAUGCAGGAAAGAAGAUUUCAGACUGACAUCUUUUAGAAGACCCAAGAAGAGAAAUGAAAAUGACUAAUCAUUAAAAAUAUUGCAUCGAUAAGCAUGAUAUUUGCCAUCACUUUCAAAGUUUGAGCAUGCAAAGCUACCACCUUAAAGACUGUUUCUUCCUUAAGUAUUUAGGCUGACUUUAGGACCAGGUGCCUUAUCAAUAAGUGGCCUGGUGGGGUGGUCUGAACAACUGACAUCUCAUUGAUGUGAUUAACCGAGACAGAGAAUAUGGCACAUUUUUCUACUAACACCUUUUCUACAAAAAAUAUUGAUAUGAAAACAAUUUAAAAUAGAAAGAGGGUUAACCUAUAAUGUAUGGAGCUCCUUAGGGGAAGAAAAUCCUACAACCCAAUCCCAC
rnacentral:lncRNA from 1 species